UACGUAGGGUGCAAGCGUUGUCCGGAAUUAUUGGGCGUAAAGAGCUCGUAGGCGGUUUGUCGCGUCUGCUGUGAAAACUGGAGGCUCAACCUCCAGCCUGCAGUGGGUACGGGCAAACUAGAGUGGCGGUAGGGGAGAUUGGAAUUCCUGGUGUAGCGGUGGAAUGCGCAGAUAUCAGGAGGAACACCGGUGGCGAAGGGCGGGUCUCUGGGGCAGUAACUGACGUGAGGAGCGAAAAGCGUGGGGG
rnacentral:rRNA from 1 species